rnacentral:rRNA from 1 species
GACGAACGCUGGCGGCGUGCUUAACACAUGCAAGUCGAACGGAAAGGCCCUGCUUGCAGGGUGCUCGAGUGGCGAACGGGUGAGUAACACGUGGGUGAUCUGCCCCUUACUUUGGGAUAAGCCUGGGAAACUGGGUCUAAUACUGGAUAGGACCAUGCUGUAGGUGGUGUGGUGGAAAGAUUAGUUUCGGUAAGGGAUGAGCUCGCGGCCUAUCAGCUUGUUGGUGGGGUAAUGGCCUACCAAGGCGUCGACGGGUAGCCGGCCUGAGGGGGUGGACGGCGACAUUGGGACUGAGAUACGGCCCAGACGCCUACGGGAGGCAGCAGUGGGGAAUAUUGCACAAUGGGCGCAAGCCGGAUGCAGCGACGCCGCGUGGGGGAUGACGGCCUUCGGGUUGUAAACUCCUUUCAGCCAUGACGAAGCCCUUGUGGUGACGGUAGUGGUAGAAGAAGCACCGGCUAACUACGUG